rnacentral:misc_RNA from 1 species
UGCCGAGGGUUUCAGGAAGAAGAAGAGUAACCGCUGCACAAACGAAGCAUAAUGUGCUGAGCAGAAGAUCUGGAAGAGGUACAAUAUUAGGGGGCUCAUAAAACUGGCGGCAUAUCCAACAACGUGAAUGAGAGCGACCCCUCGACCUCUGAUUACCGUUGGUAUUAAUUCAGCGGCGUAUUGAGAUCCGGAAUUGAAGGCAACGACUACACAGAGCCUCGCCGUUACUGUGAGACCUACGCUUAAUCGGACGAUCGUCUGUUGAGAAAGGACCGCUGGAUGAAAGAGGAAAAUUUUCAACUGGAUGUGAGAAAAGCUGACAUCAAAACGGCUAGGAAGAAAAGUGCCUUCCUUCCUAUUUUAUCCUGCAAUAACAGGAUCACAAUACCCGCGGGAAAGAUCGUCAGCGAACCAAGCGAAAAUACUAAAAAUGGCGACGCGCCAUUCACGUUUACGUUCCUUGAUAUCGCGUCGUAGCAAAGCGUCAAAGUCAUUCUACGAGCAGGGCAACGGCCAACCAAGGGACAACGCUACAUCCGAGGCAGUAAAAUAUUCCUAUGCAAACGUUCAGCCCGAAAGUUCUCAUCGAAGGCCGUACGUACUCCAUGACUGAUUGAUCGAAAGAGAAGCAUUUGAACUCGGAUAAUAACCAG